CACAGUGCCUGCAAUGUGGACG
rnacentral:miRNA from 1 species